rnacentral:rRNA from 1 species
CGUAAAGAACCUGCCUCAUAGACUGGGACAACUAUUGGAAACGAUAGCUAAUACCGGAUAACAGCAUUAACUGCAUGGUUGAUGUUUAAAAGUUGGUUAUGCUAACACUAUGAGAUGGCUUUGCGGUGCAUUAGCUAGUUGGUGGGGUAAAGGCCUACCAAGGCGACGAUGCAUAGCCGACCUGAGAGGGUGAUCGGCCACACUGGGACUGAGACACGGCCCAG